rnacentral:rRNA from 1 species
GAUGAACGCUAGCGGCAGGCUUAAUACAUGCAAGUCGAGGGGCAGCAUGAUUGUAGCAAUACAAUUGAUGGCGACCGGCAAACGGGUGCGGAACACGUACACAACCUUCCAACAAGUGGGGGAUAGCCCAGAGAAAUUUGGAUUAAUACCCCGUAACAUAGCGAUGUGGCAUCACAUUGCUAUUAUAGAUUUUUCGCUUGUUGAUGGGUGUGCGGCUGAUUAGAUAGUUGGCGGGGUAACGGCCCACCAAGUCUACGUUCAGUAGCUGAUGUGAGAGCAUGAUCAGCCACACGGGCACUGAGACACGGGUCCGACUCCUACGGGAGGCAGCAGUAAGGAAUAUUGGACAAUGGACGCAAGUCUGAUCCAGCCAUGCCGCGUGAAGGAUUAAGGUCCUCUGGAUUGUAAACUUCUUUUAUAAGGGACGAAAAAAGGCUUUUCUAAGUCGUCUGACGGUACCUUAUGAAUAAGCACCGGCUAACUCCGUGCCAGCCGCCGCAGUAAGAC